rnacentral:rRNA from 1 species
UACAGAGGUCUCGAGCGUUAGGCGGAAUCACUGGGCUUAAAGCGUGUGUAGGUGGAUCGGUAAGUACCUUGUGAAAUCCCACAGCUUAACUGUGGAACUGCUUGGUAUACUGCCAGUCUUGAGCCAGCUAGGGGCUACCGGAACAAAUGGUGGAGCGGUGAAAUGCGUAGAUAUCAUUUGGAACGCCAAUGGUGAAAACAGGUAGCUGGGGCUGUGCUGACACUGAGACACGAAAGCCAGGGGAGUAAACGGG